CAGUCGCCACGGUAAUACAGAGGGUGCGAGCGUUAAUCGUAUUUACUGGGCGUAAAGCGUGCGUAGGCGGCUUCUUAAGUCGGAUGUGAAAUCCCUGAGCUUAACUUAGGAAUUGCAUUCGAUACUGGGAAGCUAGAGUAUGGGAGAGGAUGGUAGAAUUCCAGGUGUAGCGGUGAAAUGCGUAGAGAUCUGGAGGAAUACCGAUGGCGAAGGCAGCCAUCUGGCCUAAUACUGACGCUGAGGUACGAAAGCAUGGGGAGCAAACAGGAUUAGAUACCCCCGUAGUCCCUGUCUCUUAUAA
rnacentral:rRNA from 1 species